AAGCAACAAGACACACAACUACAUAAAAUAAAAUACAACAUGAACAUCCACCACAGUGGAAUCAACAUUCUUCACUGUGGUGGAAGGCAAUAACGUUCAGUCAGCCCUCCUCUUUUGUUCAUCCGUGAUCGGGGUCAUGAACCCUCUGCAGUCGCCGCUACGGAUGGCCCGAUGCACAUGCCCUCUCAUCGGGAUGAUCGAAUC